UACGGGGGGGGCAAGCGUUGUUCGGAAUUACUGGGCGUAAAGGGCUCGUAGGCGGCCAACUAAGUCGGACGUGAAAUCCCGGGGCUCAACCCCGGAACUGCAUUCGAUACUGCCCGGCUCGAGUACUGGAGAGGAGAUUGGAAUUUACGGUGUAGCAGUGAAAUGCGUAGAUAUCGUAAGGAAGACCAGUGGCGAAGGCGGAUCUCUGGACAGUUACUGACACUGAGGCACGAAGGCCAGGGGAGCAAACGGG
rnacentral:rRNA from 1 species